rnacentral:rRNA from 1 species
UACGUAGGCAGCGAGCGUUGUUCGGAGUUACUGGGCGUAAAGGGUGUGUAGGCGGUUGUUUAAGUUUGGUGUGAAAUCUCCCCGGCUCAACUGGGAGGGUGCGCCGAAUACUGAAUGACUUGGAGUGCGGGAGAGGGGAGUGGAAUUCCUGGUGUAGCGGUGAAAUGCGUAGAUAUCAGGAGGAACACCGGUGGUGUAGACGGCUCUCUGGACCGUAACUGACGCUGAGACACGAAAGCGUGGGUAGCAAACAGG